AUUGAACGCUGGCGGCAGGCCUAACACAUGCAAGUCGAACGGUAACAGGAAACAGCUUGCUGUUUCGCUGACGAGUGGCGGACGGGUGAGUAAUGUCUGGGAAACUGCCUGAUGGAGGGGGAUAACUACUGGAAACGGUAGCUAAUACCGCAUAACGUCGCAAGACCAAAGAGGGGGACCUUCGGGCCUCUUGCCAUCAGAUGUGCCCAGAUGGGAUUAGCUAGUAGGUGGGGUAACGGCUCACCUAGGCGACGAUCCCUAGCUGGUCUGAGAGGAUGACCAGCCACACUGCAACUGAGACACGGUCCAGACUCCUACGGGAGGCAGCAGUGGGGAAUAUUGCACAAUGGGCGCAAGCCUGAUGCAGCCAUGCCGCGUGUAUGAAGAAGGCCUUCGGGUUGUAAAGUACUUUCAGCGGGGAGGAAGGGAGUAAAGUUAAUACCUUUGCUCAUUGACGUUACCCGCAGAAGAAGCACCGGCUAACUCCGUG
rnacentral:rRNA from 1 species